AUACGUAGGUGGCAAGCGUUAUCCGGGAUUUACUGGGUGUAAAGGGCGCGUAGGCGGGAGUACAAGUCAGAUGUGAAAUCUAGGGGCUCAACCCCUAAACUGCAUUUGAAACUGUAUUUCUUGAGUGAUGGAGAGGCAAGUGGAAUUCCUAGUGUAGCGGUGAAAUGCGUAGAUAUUAGGAGGAACACCAGUGGCGAAGGCGACUUGCUGGACAUUAACUGACGCUGAUGCGCGAAAGCGUGGGGAGC
rnacentral:rRNA from 1 species